GCCCUUCCCCAAAAAAGCCUCUUCUCUCUCAAUCGAUCUUCGAUCGUCUUCCUCUCCUCUGUCAACCGACCUUCCUCCGUCUUCAUCUCCUCUCUCAACUGGUCUUCUUCCUCUUUCUCAGUCGCGUUCUCAACCAUGGGUCUUCCCCUCUCUCUCAGCUGCUCUCACCCGUGGGUCUGCCCUUCUCUCUCAGCCGCUUUCACUCGUCUUCCCCUCUCUCUCAAUCGUCCAUAGUUAAGAUGAGUUUCAAAAUGUCCAUCAAUCCUUUCAACAAACUCGGUUUCUUCAUUACUUGGACAAUUUGCAUAAGUUGAAGAUUUCUCGUUAAUUGGUAUUUAUGCAAACUUUUUCUGGUGUGGUUCUUCCAAGACUGGUUCUAUAUGCUCUGCUAAAUGACUGAUGCUUUCUUAUCAAAUAAAUUUAGCUACAUUUUGCCUGCUA